rnacentral:misc_RNA from 1 species
CUGAAAGCAUUUGCAUAUACAAUAUUUGUUAGCAUUAUGAAGAAACGAGCAAAAGAAUAAAGUUGAAUCAAAUAAAGCAUUGGCCUUUCUGCAUCAGGAAAUUCUAGGAUGCAUUCGAAUCUGACGUCAACGGCGUAGAUGGAGGUAGCAGACUUUUGGUUUUGUUACUAGUUGUAGAUUUGGCAAUUGGAGGGGGUUGUGAAGAAG